rnacentral:rRNA from 1 species
GACGAACGCUGGCGGCGUGCUUAACACAUGCAAGUCGAACGGAAAGGCCCUGCUUUUGUGGGGUGCUCGAGUGGCGAACGGGUGAGUAACACGUGAGUAACCUGCCCUUGACUUUGGGAUAACUUCAGGAAACUGGGGCUAAUACCGGAUAGGAGCUCCUGCUGCAUGGUGGUGGUUGGAAAGUUUCGGCGGUUGGGGAUGGACUCGCGGCUUAUCAGCUUGUUGGUGGGGUAGUGGCUUACCAAGGCUUUGACGGGUAGCCGGCCUGAGAGGGUGACCGGCCACAUUGGGACUGAGAUACGGCCCAGACUGCUACGGGAGGCAGCAGUGGGGAAUAUUGCACAAUGGGCGGAAGCCUGAUGCAGCAACGCCGCGUGCGGGAUGACGGCCUUCGGGUUGUAAACCGCUUUCGCCUGUGACGAAGCGUGAGUGACGGUAAUGGGUAAAGAAGCACCGGCUAACUACGUG